rnacentral:rRNA from 1 species
AUUGAACGCUGGCGGCAUGCCUUACACAUGCAAGUCGAACGGCAGCGGGGGAGAAGCUUGCUUUUCCUGCCGGCGAGUGGCGAACGGGUGAGUAAUACAUCGGAACGUGCCCUGUAGUGGGGGAUAACUAGUCGAAAGAUUAGCUAAUACCGCAUACGACCUGAGGGUGAAAGUGGGGGACCGCAAGGCCUCAUGCUAUAGGAGCGGCCGAUGUCUGAUUAGCUAGUUGGUGGGGUAAAGGCCUACCAAGGCGACGGUCAGUAGCUGGUCUGAGAGGAAGAUCAGCCACACGGGGACUGGGACACGGCGCAGACUCCUACGGGAGGCAGCAGUGGGGAAUUUUGGACAAUGGGCGAAAGCCUGAUCCAGCAAUGCCGCGUGUGUGAAGAAGGCCUUCGGGUUGUAAAGCACUUUUGUCCGGAAAGAAAUGGCUCUGGUUAAUACCUGGGGUCGAUGACGGUACCGGAAGAAUAAGGACCGGCUAACUACGUGCCAGCAGCCGCGGUAA